rnacentral:lncRNA from 10 species
UUGAGAGUUGACAGACGGGCUGGAGACCUCUGGACUGGAGGAAUAGCAAGGUGGUGGGUCCCCUGGGUUUUCUUUUUCUCUCAUGUGUUCCUGCACUAGUCCCCAGGGAAGCCUGUGGCCCAGAACAGCCAACAGGCACAGACAGAAAUUCUCCAAGGAAAGCCUCCUCUCUCUGGCCAAAGCCCUGGGAAAGGGGACGCCCAACAGAGACCUAGAGGGUAGCUGCCACCUUCACCC